UACGUAGGGGCCGAGCGUUGUCCGGAAUCACUGGGCGUAAAGGGCGCGUAGGUGGCCUGUGGAAGUCUGCGGUGAAAGCCCGGCGCUCAACGCCGGGUCGGCCGUGGAUACUCUCGGGCUUGAGCUUACUAGAGGCAGAUGGAAUUCCGGGUGUAGCGGUGGAAUGCGUAGAGAUCCGGAAGAACACCGGUGGCGAAGGCGGUCUGCUGGGGUAAUGCUGGACACUGAUGCGCGAC
rnacentral:rRNA from 1 species